GGCACUCGGCGGCCGGGCGCACCAGGCAGCUGCGCGCCGGGGGAGCGGGAGCGGGAGCGGCGGGGCCAUGAGGCUGGCGGCGGGGCGCUUCGGCCGGGCGCUCCUUCCCCCUGCUCCGCGGCGAGCGUAGCCGAGCCGGCCCUUCCCCCCUCCGCGGCCGUUGAUGCCGCGGCCGUUGGGCCGUUGGAUUCCGGGCCGAGGCCUGGGGCUGCCCCCAGUAUGCGAUGGGGAACUGCUGGGCGCAGGGGUGCUGCGGCCUCUUCUUGCGGCGAGAAGCGGGGCGCAUCCAGCGCGGCGGAGGAUCAAAGUAUUUUAGAACAUGUUCAACGGGAGAACACUUCACUAUUGAGUUUGAGAAUCUAGUGGAAAGUGAUGAGGGAGAAAGCCCAGGAAGCAGUCAUAGACCUCUGACGGAGGAAGAAAUUGCUGAUCUGAGAGAGAGACAUUAUGAUUCCAUUGCUGAAAAACAGAGAGCAUUUGAUAUGAAACUUCAGUCAGAGUUAGCCUUACAAGAGGAGAAGUUAAGAAUAGAAGAAGAGGCUUUAUAUGCUGCACAACGUGAAGCAGCCAGGGCAGCAAAGCAGAAAAAGCUCUUGGAGCCACAUAGACUACAGAGGAUUAUGCAGCGAGCACCAGCAUCUAAUAAUGGAGAAUAUCAAAGCUCAGUGGCAGAGGAGGAGUUUGAUUGUUCUUUGAGAAAUAUAAAGCUCCACUAUGAAGCUUUUCGAAGUAGCAGACUUUCAUCUGAUGCUACCAUUCUGACACCAAACACGGAGAGCAGCUGUGACUUAAUGACCAAAACAAAAUCAACAAGUGGAAAUGAGGACAGCACUUCACUAGAUCUAGAGUGGGAAGAUGAAGAAGGUAUGAACAGAAUGAUUCCAAUAAGAGAGCGCUCUAAAACAGAAGAAGAUAUACUCCGAGCAGCACUAAAAUUUAGCAGCAAGAAGACAGGAAGUAAUCCAACCUCAGCUUCUGAUGAUUCAAAUGGUUUGGAGUGGGAGAAUGAUUUUGUUAGUGCUGAGAUGGAUGAUAAUGGCAAUUCAGAGUAUGCUGGAUUUGUGAAUCCUGUAAUAGAACUGUCUGUGUCAGACAUAAAUAAACUCGAUGCUGAUCAACAAGACAGGUAGUGAAAUUGUGUGGCUGUUAUUAAUGGCAAAAUGUUUAAAGUUAAAUGGAGUGUACAGAACUGUGAGGCUUGUGUAAGAAAAGGAAGGAAACCAUAUUGUAAUGCUCAUUAGCAAGGAAUGGGAAUGAUUUGUUAUCUGAGUUACUUCAGAAUUAAGUGCAAUUUUAUCAUCUACCUUAUAAAUGUUUAUGAAAAUACUGGGGUGAUUCUAUCUUGUAUAUUUCUGGAAAUUUGGGAUUCGUAUAAAAUUAUCUGCAUUAAUUUAAGAUUCACAGCUUGACAUACCUAUAUUUUAACUAGCCACUUGGUUUCAGUGUAUUUCUCCUGAUUUGUUUUACAUGUCAUUGGCCUAAUAUUUAUCUUGAAAAUAAAUAUCCUACAUAACUUAUCUUAAUACUUGAAUGUAUUAAGUGAUGGGUAAGGAUCUGUGGCCUGCAAUGUGCAGGAGCUCAGAUUAGAUUAUCAUGAUGGUCCCUUCUGACCUUAAAGUCUGAGAAUGUGAAAGCGGUGAGAGAUUACUUUUAUAAAUUGCCUUUUUCCAUUAUCUGUUUGAUUUGUUCUUUAACAUACAGAGGCCAAGUCAAUAGUUUAUCACAUGUGAAAUUGUCUAUUUGCAAUUGUAUCAGAGGGGUAGCCGUUCACUUCUUGCAUCCGAAGAAGUGGGUAUUCACCCAUGAAAGCUCAUGCUGCAAAAUGUCUGUUAGUCUAUAAGGUGCCACAGGAUUCUUUGCUGCUUCUAUUUGCAAUUGGUUUAUUACCUCAACGUAUUUCUUACCUUUUUUAAAUAUGAAUUUUCUUGCACCAAGCAUAAUGAUUCCAAUGGCAUAGAAACAAAAUUAGACCAGAUUUGUCAUGUAAAAUGAUGUAUUAUGUUUAGUGAAAGUAUGCUACCUGAAGAUUUUUUUUAUAGCUGCUUUUCUGUACUUCAGCAGGAAAUUUUGAAAGUUAGUUAAAGGAAAAUUUAGAGGACUAAAGGUUCUUUUUUUUUUUUUUUUCCCACUUACAACUCAUCAAAUGCUGCUAGUACAAAAGUGUUUAGAGAGACUUGUGGAAUACUUAUAAUUUCUUCACCUUGUAUGAAUCAUUCUUAAAGGCAGCAUUAUAUGAACAGACUUGCAGAAUAUGGAAAAAAAUUACUUCUCUGCUACGUUUGGAAGAAAGAGAUCCUAAAACAGAGUUUCUGUGGCUAUAUUAACACAAAACAGUACAUUGAACUUUUCAAGCUUUCCUGUGCUUUGUAACUGGAUAGUUACCAUUGCUGAUAUGGGCUGAAACAUAAGCAGGCCUUCAGUUACCGCUGACCAUGUGGAAUCUGAUGCAUAUUCUCCCCUUACGUUUUGAUUAUGAAUUAUGUAAAACAAAACUGGAGAGACUGUGUAAAACACAACUGUAAAUGUGUUUUUUCUCAAGCUUGCAGUAAAGCUUUACUCUCCUAAUGUAAAUUGUGUUCUUCUAGAGCAUCUUUCUGAAUAAGGAUUUUCAUGUGUGGCUCUUUAUUUUUAGAAUAAAGGCAAUGCACUUCCUCAAAGUUACAAAAAGCUAAAUCAUCAGAAAUAACUUUAGAUAAUACAAAGUGUGUAACCCAUUUAGCUAUCUGAGCCCCUAUAAUGUGGUAGGGUCAUGGUAGUUUGAUCUUCUUCAUGCCUUUUAUCUAAAAUUAAAACACCAGAUACUUUGACUAAAUAUGUACAUACGGUGACACUUUAGGAAACAGCUCAAUCUUUUAAUGUACUUAACAUUCCAUUUCUUAAUUUAAGUUACAGCUAUGUUGGAAAUAUUUUAAUGUAAUAUCUACAUUUGCAAUGCCUGUAAUAUGUUUUUUAAAAAUUUGUACACAUCGAAUGUAUAUUUUU